GUGUCAGCAGCCGCGGUAAUACGGGGGGGGCAAGCGUUGUUCGGAAUUACUGGGCGUAAAGGGUCUGUAGGUGGCCAACUAAGUCAGACGUGAAAUCCCUCAGCUUAACUGGGGAACUGCGUCUGAUACUGGUCGGCUUGAGUGCAGGAGAGGAACGCGGAAUUCCAGGUGUAGCGGUGAAAUGCGUAGAUAUCUGGAGGAACACCGGUGGCGAAGGCGGCGUUCUGGACUGCAACUGACACUGAGAGACGAAAGCCAGGGGAGCAAACGGGAUUAGAUACCCCAGUAGUCC
rnacentral:rRNA from 1 species